rnacentral:rRNA from 1 species
AAUCCAUAGGUUAAUGAGGCGAACCGGGGGAACUGAAACAUCUAAGUACCCCGAGGAAAAGAAAUCAACCGAGAUUCCCCCAGUAGCGGCGAGCGAACGGGGAGGAGCCCAGAGCCUGAAUCAGCAUGUGUGUUAGUGGAAGCGUCUGGAAAGGCGCGCGAUACAGGGUGACAGCCCCGUACACAAAAGCGCAUGUGCUGUGAGCUCGAUGAGUAGGGCGGGACACGUGGUAUCCUGUCUGAAUAUGGGGGGACCAUCCUCCAAGGCUAAAUACUCCUGACUGACCGAUAGUGAACCAGUACCGUGAGGGAAAGGCGAAAAGAACCCCGGCGAGGGGAGUGAAAAAGAACCUGAAACCGUGUACGUACAAGCAGUGGGAGCCCCACCACCAAAGCAUUUGCUGUACCGCGUUGACGGAGCGAAGCGACGUCAAACCGAUAAAACAGCAGUGUAAAGUGAGCCGCAGGGCGCUUUGCGCGACAGCGCAAAGGCAGGCGGUUUCGCGUAGCGAAAGCGAAUGCUUUGGGGUGGGGUGACUGCGUACCUUUUGUAUAA